AAGAGUUAAAAGUAUAACGUUAUAACAACAAAUUUCAUUGAAAAAAAAAAUAAUAUACUAAUACAAAAUAAUAAAUCAAGUUAUUAAAACUAGGUAUAAGAAAAUAAUUUCGUAAUAUAAAAAUAUGCUAAGGAGUUGAUAUUACUUUGUAUAUUGUAACGAGAUCGAUGUCUUGCCCUUUUUCUGUUGCUUUGUAGUUAUAUUUUUAUUGUUUUAUAGUUGUUUUCGUAUAGUUAAAGUGUUAUAUAAUUAUUUUUUAACUGUCUUAGAUUUUUAUUUUUAUUUUAUUGAAACAAUAUUUUUAUAAUUUUAAAGCUUUUAAAAACUUUAUAACAAAAAAAAUAAAGGUAUUUUUAUAAGUACCCCUCAUAAUUACAAAUAGAAGGCUGGGACAGUCAGGGAAAGAGGAAAUUACAUUCUAUACCCGCUUUUUGUUUCGUAUUUUAUUUUUUACCUUCAUUUUACUACUCUUUAAUUUAUACCCACUUUUAUAAGUUAUAUUCCCAUUAUGUACAUUAAGAAGUCUAAUUUUGAUUAGUUUUGUGAGGUUAUAUUUAGUACUUUGAUUAUAAAAGAGAGUAUUUAUCAAUUAAAAUUAUUUUAGAGUUAUAUUUGAUUAAUGUGUAAUAAAAAGAGGUAGUUUUCAACUUAUCCCUCAGGGAAUCUAUGUUCAUGACCAAAUUAUGGGCUUAUGAAAGUUGGCCCAUGUUUGAUCCAAACAUAGCUCAGGCCAUGUUAAAGCCCAUAGUCCGAGUCUGAGAUUAGAGAAGAGAAAAGAGCAAAGAGUGAAACCCUAACCCUAAUAAAAGCAGAGUCGAAGGCCAUCUAUAAAAAGAACCACCAGGCGAAGCUACCAUUGUGGCUCUCUUCUCUUCUUCCGCCUUCUUUCAUUUUGUGUCCUCUCUCUCAGAUGACGAGUCCGAUAUCCAUUCAUAAAAUCGUGACGACAAUCGAGGCAUUUGUCUGAGAGGAAAUCUCUUAUCUUUCUAUUGUUUUUUGUUUUUGUUAUACAUGCUUAUAUAUAUUGGGGAUGAAGGGGAUUAUCUCAUUGAUGAUCAACACAGAUGACGAGUCUGAUAUCCAUUCUUAAAAAUCAUGAGGACAAUCGAGGCAUUUGUCUGAGAGGAAAUCUCUUCUUCCUCAAUAUAUCAUUUUGUUUUCAUUAAAUUAGGGUUUAUCUUUGCAUAGUAUAUUAGAGAAAUGUCAGGCAUAAUGAUGAAAUGUUUUUCUGAUUACUUUGAUGAACACAAACCUCCUACUCAUUCUGAAUGCCUGAUCUUGUUUUAGAUUUUUGUUUCAAAAUUUAUGUAUUUUGGGUUUGAUUUUGAAUUUAUUUGAAUUAAUGGUGGAUAGAGAAGAAGAAAAGGAAAGUGUAGCAAUGAUGAUAAAACAGAUUCAACUGUACACUGAGAAGCAUCAAUGAUUUUGUUUCAAGCACUUUUGAGCUGCUUCUCCUUUUCUCUCUAUCUUAUCCUAAUUCUAGUUACAUUUUUGGAUUGAAGAUUUAUUUUGUUUUUGUUUCGUAAAAUUUUUUUGUGUAUAAUUUGACAUUGGCUGUUUUAAUUUCUUGUAAAUUUGAAUUUUAGAUAUGGCGAGGAUGACAAAUUUCAUUUCUCGAUCCUGAAAUUGUAUAUUUUGACAAAUAUACAUAAACAAGUGGCAAAGUAUACGUACUUUGCUCUUUGAUGACA